rnacentral:rRNA from 1 species
AUUGAACGCUGGCGGCAGGCUUAACACAUGCAAGUCGAACGAGUGGCGGACGGGUGAGUAAUGCUUGGGAAUCUAGCUUAUGGAGGGGGAUAACUACGGGAAACUGUAGCUAAUACCGCGUACAAUAGGAUGAGCCAACGGGGGAUUAGGUAGUUGGUGAGGUAAAGGCUCACCAAGCCGACGAUCACUAGCUGGUCUGAGAGGAUGACCAGCCACACGGGGACUGAGACACGGCCCAGACUCCCACGGGAGGCCGCAGUGGGGAAUUUGGCGCAAUGGGGGCAACCUGACGGAGCCAUGCCGCGUGGAUGAAGAAGGCCUUCGGGUUGUAAAGUUCUUUCGGUAGGGAGGCGUUAGCUACAGAAGAAGCACCGGAUAACUCCGUGCCAGCAGCCGCGGUAAUAC